CGGCGGACGGGUGGGUAACGCGUGGGUAACCGUAGCUCAUACAGGGGAGUAACAGUUGGAAACGGACUGCUAAUACCGCAUAAGCGCACAGUACCGCAUGGUACGGUGUGAAAAACUCCGGUGGUAUGAGAUGGACCCGCGUCUGAUUAGGUAGUUGGUGGGGUAACGGCCUACCAAGCCGACGAUCAGUAGCCGACCUGAGAGGGUGACCGGCCACAUUGGGACUGAGACACGGCCCAA
rnacentral:rRNA from 1 species